rnacentral:rRNA from 1 species
AUUGAACGCUGGCGGCAUGCCUUACACAUGCAAGUCGAACGGUAACAGGUUAAGCUGACGAGUGGCGAACGGGUGAGUAAUAUAUCGGAACGUGCCCAGUCGUGGGGGAUAACUGCUCGAAAGAGCAGCUGAUACCGCAUACGACCUGAGGGUGAAAGCGGGGGAUCGCAAGACCUCGCGCGAUUGGAGCGGCCGAUAUCAGAUUGGGUAGUUGGUGGGGUAAAGGCCCACCAAGCCAACGAUCUGUAGCUGGUCUGAGAGGACGACCAGCCACACUGGGACUGAGACACGGCCCAGACUCCUACGGGAGGCAGCAGUGGGGAAUUUUGGACAAUGGGCGCAAGCCUGAUCCAGCCAUGCCGCGUGCGGGAAGAAGGCCUUCGGGUUGUAAACCGCUUUUGUCAGGGAAGAAAAGGUUCUGGUUAAUACCUGGGACUCAUGACGGUACCUGAAGAAUAAGCACCGGCUAACUACGUGCCAGCCGCCGCCGUAA